CGCAACACCACCGUGCCACGUCCAGUCCGAACACCUCGGGGACGGUGACCCCACCUGUGCAGCCCGUUCCAAUGUCUAAUCGUCCUUUCUUGUGAAGAAAUUCUCCCUAAUGUCCAACUUCAUCCUCCCCCGGCACAGCUUGAGACUGUGCCUUCCUGUCUUGAAUUUUCUGGGAGAAGAGACCGAACCCCCCAGACCACCAGGGAACUCCCUUAGCUGUGACAUUGUAAUGGGAGGUGGAGACACCUCGAGGAGAAGGUCGAGACAGGCAACAGCAAUUACAGUCAGUAACAUCUCUGACUUGCCUCAAUUACAGGUUUGGCUGCCUGUGCUCGAGGUCUGUCAUGAUAUGGUGGAGUGUAAUCUGGGAUCAGAGUGCUGGGAAAAGAAGUAUGUGCCAAAGAGCUGGGAGAAGCCUUCUGAGGCCUCUGAGCCGUGGCACAGAGCUGCCCUUGUCCUUGGCCCUCAUCUGGGGUAGGCUGGACCUUGCUGAUCCUGACU